AUACGGAGGGUCCGAGCGUUAUUCGGAAUCAUUGGGUUUAAAGGGUCCGUAGGCGGGAAUCUAAGUCAGUGGUGAAAUCUUGCAGCUCAACUGUAAAAUUGCCAUUGAUACUGGAUUUCUUGAAUUAGUGUGAAGUGGUUAGAAUGUGUAGUGUAGCGGUGAAAUGCAUAGAUAUUACACAGAAUACCAAUUGCGAAGGCAGAUCACUAACACUAUAUUGACGCUAAGGGACGAAAGCGUGGGGAGCGAACAGGAUUAGAAACCCCGGUAGUCC
rnacentral:rRNA from 1 species